GAUUGUACUGUGGCAAUGCCGGAUAAUACAGUGGAGGAACAAGGUUGUACUGGGGUGGCUCUGAAUCUUUUUGCUACAAAGGCGACUCAAAUUGUACAGCGGAAGAGGGUCAGGUUGCUCCCUCCUUUCUUUCCGAGCCUGCUGGGUAAAGAUGAGUCUCUUCAGCAUCUCAAAGAGUCGGUCAACAUCCUCUCGAAGUGAACCAUCC
rnacentral:lncRNA from 1 species